rnacentral:rRNA from 1 species
AGUGAACGCUGGCGGUAGGCCUAACACAUGCAAGUCGAACGGCAGCACAGUAAGAGCUUGCUCUUACGGGUGGCGAGUGGCGGACGGGUGAGGAAUACAUCGGAAUCUACUUUUUCGUGGGGGUUAACGUAGGGAAACUUACGCUAAUACCGCAUACGACCUACGGGUGAAAGCAGGGGAUCUUCGGACCUUGCGCGAUUGAAUGAGCCGAUGUCGGAUUAGCUAGUUGGCGGGGUAAAGGCCCACCAAGGCGACGAUCCGUAGCUGGUCUGAGAGGAUGGGCAGCCAGACUGGAACUGAGACACGGCCAAGACUCCUACGGGAGGCAGCAGUGGGGAAUAUUGGACAAUGGGGGCAAGCCUGAUCCAGCCAUACCGCGUGGGUGAAGAAGGCCUUCGGGUUGUAAAGCCCUUUUGUUGGGAAAGAAAAGCAGCAGGUUAAUACCCCGCUGUUCUGACGGUACCAAAAGAAUAAGCACCGGCUAACUUCGUG